GUCGAAUCGGAGCUGUAGCCACUGGCCUACGCCAGAGCCACAGCAACGCGGGGUCCGAGCCGCGUCUGCAACCUACACCACAGCUCACGGCAACACUGGAUUAUUAACCCACUGAGCAAGGGCAGGGACCGAACCCGCAACCUCAUGGUUCCUAGUCGGAUUCGUUAACCACUGCGCCACGACGGGAACUCCUCUGUUUUAUUUUUUAAUCUAGCUAAGCGAUUAUCUGCUGUACAUGAAACUGUUAAGUGUGUUCACGGAAAACGGUAAUUUUGGAUAAUUUGUUAUUUGUUAUCUUUCAGCUCUGUCUUCUCAUGACACCCAGGGUUUGAUGCCACAUAAGCCAGUCAUGGAACUUUUCUUACCAACAAUGCUGCUGGGAAAAUAUGAAAGCUCUGCUGUUGGUGCUUUUGAUUUAAUUAGAGGCAGUAAGGGAAUGCCAUAUGGAGAUAUAUGGAGAUAGAAGUAAGAAGACUGCAAAGGAAGAGGGUGUGUGUACACACUUUUAGAAAGAAUGUAGACAUAUUGGAUCACAACUGGUAAUUUCAAAACUCAGCAUGAAGUACUUCCAAAUUAAUUAAACCUACAUAUUGGUAAUAUAAAUCUAUUUUGUCUACAUUAAAUUGAAUAGAUUAUUUUCCUAUCUCUUGAGACCUGGUGGGAGAUGCUCCCCAUGCAGAUCCUGUCUUUUUU
rnacentral:lncRNA from 1 species